GGCAGCUAGGGCUCAGAGGCUGGGCCACGUGGCUGCCGCCGGCGCUGGUUCUGUUCCUUCGGCUUUGGGCUCUGACCCGGGAGGGCAAAUGCGCAGGCUCUAAGCUUGGACUAGCUAGGAGUUGACCGCCGACCACGCACACAGGGAACUCACCUUUGAUUCUCACACACUCCUCCCCGCAGUCCUAUUCCUUAUCUCAAAAGGCGUUGAUAAGUCACCUGCUUCCCCAGACAGGCUCUGCUUGCGGUCUUAAAGAUGGAACCAAUUUUCUUGGAAAAACCCAGACUCUCAUCUGUGACUGACUUAAGAAGACAGCAGUGAUGCAAUAAUAAUGUUCUACAUACACUUUCCCUUUGCCUCCUGCCAGCUCAG
rnacentral:lncRNA from 1 species